AGCCAGCAAGUUCAUCUCGUCCCAGGAUGCAAAGCGCGGUGGCUCUGGCUGUGCAGGGCGCCCUUGCGCGCUCAAAAGCCCCGCAGUAGCCGCGCAUAGCACCAGGGCAGCGCCUGCUGUCGGAGCGCAGCGCAUGAUUCUGGGGGUGGCCUUGGGUGCAGCAACGCUAGGACUCCGGAACGCAGGAGUUCAAGACCCAGCAGCU
rnacentral:rRNA from 1 species